AUGAGCCCGGAAAGAUGCAGCUCAGAGGAUGAGCCCGGAAAGAUGCGUUCGAUUGAGCUGGGGCAGGAAGGGCCCGCUGCCCUCGCCCGGGAGCCUGGCCUUGCGGGUGCCUGGACUUCGCGGCCCUGCAUCCCCCCUGCCGUCCCCACACUGCAAAGACCACAAGCUUCUGAGGGGAGGAACCAGCCAUUCGAAUUUUCUCAGGUUCCUCCUCCCCCUCCGCCACCGGGGCCUACGAAAUGCAUCUUGAGACUCCUGCAGAAGCCAGCUUUCUGCAGCCACCGUCAGAUCCCUGCGCAAUUUAUCUGGAUUCCGUCCGUGGUGGCCAGACUGGAUUUUGAUAAAGAGCCGCAAAUCUAUCCCUCUCCAGCUUCUGUGACUUGCCACACACUCCAUUCAAGCCGGAGCGUCCGCACAAUCCCUUGCAUAAUUUGGAGUUAAUCAUUUGUACUUCACAGCCUCUGAGAGGCCUCAGACUUGGGAGGUGGGGACAGAUUUGGCUUUUUAAUCGCCUUGUAUAUUGUGUAGCUUGAGAUAAAUGACACCGACUGUCUGAAAUCUACAUUCUUGCUUCUGAUGCAAAACUGUAAUUAAUUUUGUGCAGUGUUUCAGAAUUGAUCGUGGUCACUUGAAUUUCUAAUUUUUCAUUCACUUCAAAGACCCUGGGUUUUUUUUUUUUUUUUCUUUUUUCUUUUUCUUUUUUUUUUUUUUUUUUUCCUCCUCGCUCCCCUUUCCUUAAAGGAAUGUGCUCCGGGUUCCGGGCGCGCUCUUUGACGCUGGUUUGCUAAAUGAUUCUCUGCCGCCUCUUUUUCAAUAAGGUGAAACAGAGGUCAAGGCCUAUGGCUCGUGUUUAUCUCUUAGCUUGUAUUGCGACGUAUUUCCUGACCUGUAGGAAAUGCUAUCAAAACUUACUAAAUUAUAACGAAAUAGUUUGGCGGCACUUAUGUGUUGUAAAAGGCUCAAAAAGCUUCAUUCACACAUCCUAUUCACUAUAAGACAAUUAAGCACAAUUUAGGCAAUAAUUACCCUAAUUAACUACACUAUAAUGUUUGUAUUCGAGAUUAUGGCAACGUUGUAUCACUUCGCUCUUUAAAUAAUAACAAGGUUUCCUAAUUUCUCUGUAUUGAUAGUUGUUGUAUGUGAUUCUUUGUUUGGUGUAUUUCACUGUAAAAAUAUUUGUCAGUGAAAGAUUGAACAAUAUGAAUGAAUUUGAUUAUGCCAUUGUCAAAAGCCCCAUGCAUCACAAUCCCUUGUUUUUAAUCACUACUGUAAACCUUGCAGCCGGAGGGCAUAGUUUUAAUUUGGGUGUCUUACUAAUGAAAAGAAAAAAAUAAUUGUUUUGCCAGGAUUUAAUAAUAAGCAAUAAAAUCAGCCAACCAGAUUUUACCUCUGCA
rnacentral:lncRNA from 12 species